GGAUGUGAGGGCGAUCUGGCUGUGACAUCUGUCACCCCAUUGAUCGCCAGGAUUGAUUCAGCUGAUCUGGCUGGCUAGGUGGGUGUCCCCUUCCUCCCUCACUGCUUCAUGUGUGUCCCUCCCGAAGCUGCGCGCUUGGUCGAAGAGGACGACCUUCCCCGAUAGAGGAGGACCGUUCUUCGGUCAACGGUAUACGAGUAGCUGCGCUCCCCUGCUAGAACCUCCAAACAAGCUCUCAGAUGACUUCAUCAAGGGCUUGUCUUGCCAGUAAUCUCACUGAUGGAGU
rnacentral:sRNA from 1 species